rnacentral:lncRNA from 1 species
UCCAUUUGCAAAUCCAAUGUAGAAGCUAAUUAACGACAGUAACAUUCAAUUCAACAGUGAGAUUAUUAACAUAGCAUAGGAAUGGUAAAAAAAAGGAGAAUUACUUGGGCCAAGAAGAUCUGAAGAUCGAGCUUCUUCCUCGACGCACCGGACCUCGACGAAACGACCUUGAGACUUCAACGAGUGGCUGUGAACAGACCUCACAAGCGAAUUCCAAAGUGAAUUCAACCUAACGGAUUGGAAGCAAAGAUACUUUGAACGACAAAAUAGAGACUGAAUAGCAAACGUAUACGUUGGGAACCAGCUGCUGGACAGCAGCGUAAACAACCAGUGAAAUCAGCUACUCAAAUGAGUUUGCCGGAAAAACCAUCAUCAGAAGUCGCCGGGUAAUAUUCAGAAAAAAAAAAAACCACAAUGCGGAUCGUUUUUUUCCAGCAGCUCAUUCCCAACCUUAGGCGUUAGGUUUUGGGUCUGAAAGUUGAAGAAAGAGACGUCAGAGGGGGGUGGGGGUCACUUUUUCCGGCCUGCUGAAGAACAUUUCUUUAGUCUUCUUCACGAAGAAAACCACGCCAAGUCUUUUCUCUUUAGCUUUUUUUUGCGUUUUUUCUUUGUCUAUUUUUUCCGUCUUUUU